GGGCCUAUAGCUCAGUUGGUUAGAGCAGCGGACUCAUAAUCCGUAGGUCCCAGGUUCGAGUCCUGGUGGGCCCACCG
rnacentral:tRNA from 1 species